CCUACGGGUGGCAGCAGUGGGGAAUAUUGCACAAUGGGGGAAACCCUGAUGCAGCGACGCCGCGUGAAGGAAGAAGUAUUUCGGGAUGUAAAGCUCUAUCAGCAGGGAAGAAAAUGACGGUACCUGAGUAAGAAGCCCCGGCUAACGACGUGCCAGCAGCCGCGGUAAUACGUAGGGGGCAAGCGUUCUCCGGAUUUACUGGGUGUAAAGGGAGCGUAGACGGGGGUGCAAGUCUGGAGUGAAAUGCGGGGGCUCACCCCCGGGACUGCUUUUGAAACUGUGGAGCUAGAGUGCAGGAGAGGUAAGUGGAAUUCCUAGUGUAGCGGUGCAAUGCGUAGAUAUUAGGAGGAACACCAGUGGCGAAGGCGGCUUACUGGACUGUAACUGACGUUGAGGCUCGAAAGCGUGGGGAGCAAACAGGAUUAGAUACCCUUGUAGUC
rnacentral:rRNA from 1 species